AGCUAUAUGGUUAUAUAUUUAGUUCUUUCUGCCCAGUGAUAUUUUAACGGCCGCAGUACUUUGACUGUGCUAAGGUAGCAUAAUCAAUUGACUUUUAAUUGAAGUCUGGAAUGAAUGAAAGUUUGGGAAGAUUCUGUCUCUUUUAAAUUUUUAUAAAAUUAUUAUUAAGGUGAAAAUACCUUAAGUUAAAAAAAAGACGAGAAGACCCUUAGAGUUUUUUUGUUGGGGUGACAAUUAAGCUAACCUUAUUUAAUGAAUAAAUAAACUACCUUAGGGAUAACAGCAUAAUUUUUUUUUAAGAUUGUGACCUCGAUGUUGGACUAGGAAAUUAAUAAUUAGAGAUUAAAAUAUAAAGUUCUGUUCGAACUAUUUUUCCU
rnacentral:rRNA from 1 species